CGGGAUGUAGCUCAGCCUGGCUAGAGCGCUUGGUUUGGGACCAAGAAGUCGUAGGUUCAAAUCCUAUCAUCCCGAC
rnacentral:tRNA from 1 species